CGGGUGAGUAACGCGUGGGUAACCUGCCUCAUACAGGGGGAUAACAGUUAGAAAUGACUGCUAAUACCGCAUAAGCGCACAAAACCGCAUGGUUUGGUGUGAAAAACUGAGGUGGUAUGAGAUGGACCUGCGUCUGAUUAGCUAGUUGGAGAGGUAACGGCUCACCAAGGCAACGAUCAGUAGCCGACCUGAGAGGGUGACCGGCCACAUUGGGACUGAGACACGGCCCAAACUCCUACGGAAGGCAGCAG
rnacentral:rRNA from 1 species